UGCUGUGUUUUAGUGUGUGUGUGUGUGUGUUUUAGUGUGUGUGUGUGUGUGUUUUAGUGUGUGUGUGUGUGUUUUAGUGUGUGUGUGUGUGUUUUAGUGUGUGUGUGUGUGUUUUAGUGUGUGUGUGUUUUAGUGUGUGUGUGUGUGUGUGUGUGUGUGUGUGUGUAUUUGGAUUUUCACCGUGCUUUUUGUUUUCUUUCCAUUUAGGCUGUGAGCUGACAGUGGUGGCCGAGCCCUGGUGGUAGUCCCAUCUGAUGGUGUGGCCCCGCUCACCACAUAGGGAUUGGGGACUCUGGAGGAGGAGGACAAAGAGGGGACUCUGGAGGAGGAGGACAAAGAGGGGACUCUGGAGGAGGAGGACGAGGAAGGGACUCUGGAGGAGGACGAUGAGGAAGGGACUCUGGAGGACGACGACGAGAAAGGAAACCUCACUUAGCAAUAAAAACAAUUCUGAUUUUAAUACUUUAAUACUAAUAAUAAGGGCCUGGGGUCUCAUUUAUCAAACAUUGCGUAGAAUCCUUACUAAAACCGUAUUUAAGCUCAGCAAAAAAAAUGUACUUAUGCCAAGUAGGUUUGUGAUCUAUCAAACAUGGAGUACGCACAGCUGCACGCAAUCUCCGCUUCCUAAAUCGGAGACUAACAAGAAUGUUUCUCAGCUACAUUUUAGUCACAUCCCACCCUCACCAUGCCCACUUACUGCCAUAAAUAGUCAAUGCAAAGUGCCUUGUGGAUCUCAUGCAUAUACAUAA
rnacentral:lncRNA from 1 species